GAAUUAUUGGGCGUAAAGCGCGCGCAGGCGGUUCUUUAAGUCUGAUGUGAAAGCCCACGGCUCAACCGUGGAGGGUCAUUGGAAACUGGAGAACUUGAGUACAGAAGAGGAAAGCGGAAUUCCACGUGUAGCGGUGAAAUGCGUAGAGAUGUGGAGGAACACCAGUGGCGAAGGCGGCUUUCUGGUCUGUAACUGACGCUGAGGCGCGAAAGCGUGGGGAGCAAACAGGAUUAGAUACCCUGGUAGUCCACGCCGUAAACGAUGAGUGCUAAGUGUUAGGGGGUUUCCGCCCCUUAGUGCUGCAGCUAACGCAUUAAGCACUCCGCCUGGGGAGUACGGCCGCAAGGCUG
rnacentral:rRNA from 1 species